GACGAACGCUGGCGGCGUGCCUAAUACAUGCAAGUUGAGCGCUGAAGGUUGGUACUUGUACCAACUGGAUGAGCAGCGAACGGGUGAGUAACGCGUGGGGAAUCUGCCUUUGAGCGGGGGACAACAUUUGGAAACGAAUGCUAAUACCGCAUAAAAACUUUAAACACAAGUUUUAAGUUUGAAAGAUGCAAUUGCAUCACUCAAAGAUGAUCCCGCGUUGUAUUAGCUAGUUGGUGAGGUAAAGGCUCACCAAGGCGAUGAUACAUAGCCGACCUGGGAGGGUGAUCGGCCACAUUGGGACUGGGACACGGCCCAAACUCCUACGGGAGGCAGCAGUAGGGAAUCUUCGGCAAUGGACGGAAGUCUGACCGAGCAACGCCGCGGGAGUGAAGAGGGUUUUCGGAUCGUAAAACUCUGUUGGUAGAGAAGAACGUUGGGGAGAGUGGAAAGCUCAUCAAGUGACGGUAACUACCCAGAAAGGGACGGCUAACUACGUG
rnacentral:rRNA from 1 species